rnacentral:rRNA from 1 species
GAUGAACGCUGGCGGCGUGCCUAAUACAUGCAAGUCGAGCGAACGGACGAGAAGCUUGCUUCUCUGAUGUUAGCGGCGGACGGGUGAGUAACACGUGGAUAACCUACCUAUAAGACUGGGAUAACUUCGGGAAACCGGAGCUAAUACCGGAUAAUAUUUUGAACCGCAUGGUUCAAAAGUGAAAGACGGUCUUGCUGUCACUUAUAGAUGGAUCCGCGCUGCAUUAGCUAGUUGGUAAGGUAACGGCUUACCAAGGCAACGAUGCAUAGCCGACCUGAGAGGGUGAUCGGCCACACUGGAGGUGAGACGCGAUCCAGACUCCUACGGGAGGCAGCAGUAGGGAAUCUUGCGAAAUGGGCGAAAGCCUGACGGAGCAACGCCGCGUGAGUGAUGAAGGUCUGCGGAUCGUAAAACGCUGUUAUUAGGGAAGAACAUAUGUGUAAGUAACUGUGCACAUCUUGACGGUACCGAAACAGAAAGCCACGGCUAACUACGU